GGAGCGACCAAGGUCACAAGAUGAUGUUCACCCAAAAGAGGUCACAAAGGAACGACCAAGAUCACCAUUGCGACCAAGGUCACAAGACGGUGUUCACUCAAAAGAGGCCACAAAGGAUCACAAGAUGGUGUUAACCCAAAAGAGGUCACAAAAAAGCUUCAUCCAAAACUUAUUAGCUUAUGCCGAAGACAGACUUUACCCAGCCAAAACUUCAAUUCUUGUUCUAGGGUUACAAAGACAUCUUCACCCAAAUUCAUUAUGGAUUUUCCUGUAACUCAAAAUAUUGUAUUGGAAUGAAUUACAAAAUCAAUAAAAAUAAGCUACUGACCUA